UGGAAGGAUGCAGGAAACGGCUCGGGCUGAGCGCAGGUGGAGGCGGCGCCCGAGGAGGCAGACAGUGCCUGCUUAACCUGUCCGUGGCCCAUCGACAGUGGGCAAGAGAGAGCAAGAGGCACCCAACAGACCACUUGGGUGCCAGACAUUCCUCCUUGCUGCCCACCGUGUGCCUGCAGUGUGGCCUCCUGAUGACCAGGGUCAGUUACUCUCACCUGCACGACUUCUCUCUCUGCGUGCCGGCCCCUCCGUCGCUCAAGUGCCCGGCUGGCAACUGUAGCUAAUAUUUCGGUGGGACUCCUGCUGUGUCCCAUGGUGAGGGCAUGCCCCCUUUUACAAAUUAGAACUAUCAACCUGGAGCAGCCAGAGUUGCAGGGACAAGAACAGUUUCCCAGGGUUUUGCCUCCCGCAGACUCCACAGUCUCAGGCUGAAAACGGCCUCCAUGCCGGAUGUUGGCCAAGGAAUCAUGGCUGCUCUUCAGGGCGACUGUCCUCGGCCACCUGAUUAUCGCCCUCGGCCACCUGAUUAUCUAUCCGUGAAUUCCUUUGAUGGUACAGAUUGAGGACUAACCCACCGGGGCUGCCCAUCUGUUUCACCCACUGGUGUUCUGUGAACCAUCUCUAAAGCUCACCAGGUGAACCUUCCUCCCCGACCCCUCGACUCGUUCACAAUAUGCAUAAGCACAGCCCUGUUGUGUCCACAUUGCUUGAAUAUCUGAACGCCGACACAUCAUGCCAGCUUGUUUUUACUUUAUGCCACCCCAGUUCGCUGCUGGUAAGAGUUUUACAACCUGCGCGUUCCCAAACUACCUACUUUGUGCCAGGGGCUUUUUGUGCUCCAGCUGCUAUCAGUGCGGAGGUCUUCGUGGCCAGCCUGGUGGCCGAUCCAGCUCCUAACUCCUGUCUUGGUAUCCCCUCCCCCAACCCCUUCCAGUACAAACUGCCCCAAGUGGGACUUUCCAGGAAGCAGCCACCGAGGUGCAGAUUGCUCUGUAGGAGUGCUCUUGGGAUCGGGACCUGGGAGGGGAAGAAGGUAGGGUUGGGGGAAGAGAGAGAGACAUUGUCUGAGUUCAGGCAAGGCAGACUGGCUUUGUACUCCCACACUGAGCAGACACUGGGUGUGGGCCGCCCAGGAGGGAGGGGGCUGUGACCUUGGGCAGGGCAGUCUCUGGCUGAGGCAAUUCCGAAGAGGGUUAAGUCGUUGAGGAUGGUGUUCCGGAAGCUGGGGGAACACAUCCCUUAGUCCUGCUGGGGGGUCUGGGGGGGGGGGGGAGGGGCAUCGCACCUUGCAUUACAUCACGUUCCCAUUGUCACACGCAAAGAAACUCCUAGUAUUAGCCAGUAUCUAGUGCAUAUUGAGACCUUCCCAUGGUCCCCAAAUGCCUUUCCUAGCUUUUUUUUAGUCCAGAAACUAAUUAAGAAUCACUUAUUGCAUUUUGUUGUCAUCUCUAAAGUCUUUUUUUUUUUUUUUAAUUUUUUUUUUCAACGUUUAUUUAUUUUUGGGACAGAGAGAGAC